GUGGUGCUGGUGUCCCUCCACUUCCCAAAAGAAUGAUGCCGGACUCAUUCUUGGUGCUGAAUGACAGGUUGAUUUCUGUUCCUACAUCAACUGGCACAGGGGAGAGCUCCACAAAACCAGGCUUAGGAAAGCUAACUGUGUAAACAUUCUACUGGGUGUCUAUGGCCAAUUCCAAAUUGGAGCCUGUAGCUAUGAACAAUGAAGAUCCUGAAAGUUCUGUUCCAGUCUUUAAACCUCAUCAUUCAAGUGGUGGAUUUACUUUUUUCUUUACCCACAUUUUCCCUUCAUUUCCCUAAUUCUAUUGGAGUGGUUUAAGAUAAUUUUGAUUAGAAGAAGCAGACAAAAUGAAUAAUUAUAUUAUGAUAGGAUAAUUAAAAAUGUAUGAGAAUGA
rnacentral:antisense_RNA from 1 species